CAUCUUUGCAGCGACUUUGGUCCCCUUACCGGGGGAUUAAAAGGGAAGUCCGGUGUAAAUCCGGCGCUAUCCCCGUAGCUGUAAGUUCCGGGAGGAAGCAUUUCCUCCGCUUGUUGGAUCUUCAUACCACUGGAUUUCGCUCUCAAAUAACGCGGCCGCGUGAAGAUGUAUCUUUUGAGAAGCCCUCCGGGAAGGUGUUCAACAUGGAACGAGCCAGAAGACCUGCCAGGGUCCGUUGUUAUCA
rnacentral:ncRNA from 2 species